rnacentral:lncRNA from 1 species
UAUAAUUUAACAUUAAAGCUUAGAGAUCAUAAACAUGACAUAACCAAAACAUCUGCAUAUUUUUAUUUCAAAGCAGUCAGCAGAUAAGAACCACAUCAACAUACAUGAAUACAUAUAAAGUUACACAAGUAAUUUAGCAAUCUGCAUGUUAUAUAAAGGAAACAGCGCUCUACAUGAAUACAUAUAAAAUAAGGUUCCACUAAAAAUAACCUCUGAAAUUUACUUGAAGUAUACACAUAUCUACAUAUACAUAUACCCUAAAUGCAUAAACAGGAGUCACAAUAUUCUAAACAUAACUAUCAUACAGUUUAUAAUUAACCGACAUAACUCAUAAGAAACAGUAUAAUAUGAAUAAGAGUUAAUUACAGUUUGUAACCCCUAGGAUUGCUCCAAACGCACUUAAGAUCCUGAACUAUCAAACGUGACAUAAUGGACCCUGAACUUUACAUUCCUGUGCAAGUUGUAACCCAUAGUCAUUAUUCCGUCCAAAUAUGCCGUUAACUUUAACUGUUUGAGAGGUAACAGUGUGUAUACUAGUUUCUAACAGCUACUUUACCUCUUGUGACCCCUAAAAAAUUAUGUAUUAUAUUUUGAAAUUAUUUCUAAACACACACAACGAUGUAAAAAAAUUUAAAAUAAGUUUAAAAUAUGUAUCUAGAUUUAGAAUCUGAAAAUUUAUUAUUAUUUUUACAUAAACGAUGUAACUUAUUUUAAAAUUUUAAAAUAAAUACAUAUUUUAAAAUUUAUUUUAAUAGUUUUUACAUCGUUGUGUGUGUUCAGAAUUAAUUUCAAUAUAUAAUACAUAAACUUUGAGCAGUCACAGGGCUAAAAUAGCUGUUGAAAACUAAUAUAUACACUGUUACCUCUCAAACAGUUAAAGUUAACGGCAUAUUUGGAUGGAAUAGUGACUAUGGGUUACAACUUGCACGGGAAUGUAAAGUUCAGGGUGCAUUAUGUCACGUUUGAUAGUUCAGGAUCUUAAGUGCGUUUGGAGCAAUCCUAGGGGUUACAAACUAUAAUUAACUCUAUGAAUAAAGCACUGUGUGAACACAAGACUAUAGUUAUAACUUAUGUUGCCUGUAAAUAUAUACUGGAAUGCAGAAAUAGGUAAAAUAAGACCUGG